CCCUUAGAUGUUCUGGGCAGCACGCGCGCUACACUGAUGCAUUCAACGAGUCUAAAACCUGCUCUGAUAGGGGUGGGUAAUCUUUUGAAUGUGCAUCGUGAUUGGGAUAGAUGAUUGCAAUUUUUCAUCUUCAACGAGGAAUGCCUAGUAAACGCAAGUCAUCAGCUUGCAUUGAUUACGUCCCUGCCCUUUGUACACACCGCCCGUCGCUCCUACCGAUUGAAUGAUCCGAUGAAUAUCAUGGAUUGAGGAUGCAAGUAGGUUCGCCUAUCUUCAUCUUCGAGAAGUGAAGUAAAUCUUAUCAUUUAGAGGAAGGAGAAGUCGUAACA
rnacentral:rRNA from 1 species